rnacentral:rRNA from 1 species
GAUGAAGAACACAGUGAAA